AUGCUAAUCAGGCCGCCAAGGAUGCGGCUAAGAUUGCUGAUGAGGCAGCUGAUCGUGCCUAUGAUGAGAGGGCUUUGGCUUAUGAGGAGGCUCUUCAGACGUAUCAUGUUUGCUUCUGAGUUUCUAGGUCUUCCUACUGUCUUCCAGAUGUGGACCUGUCUUCGUCAGCGCUAUGAGCCCUCUGGUGAUGCCUUAUAUCUUUCUGUGGUUCGUCAGGAGCAUGCUCUUCAGCAGGGUGACACUACUGUUGAUGACUUUUAUGCACAGAGUUCUGCUAUCUGGCGCCAGCUUGAUUCUCUCCGCAGUGCUGGUUGUCGUACUUGCCCCUGCUGCCAGGCUGUCCAGGCCGAUUUGGAGUUUCAUCGCGUCUAUGAGUUCCUGUCUCGGCUCCAUAAGGAGUUUGAGCCCCGGCGUGCUCAGUUGUUUGCUCGUGGCCGUAUUUCUCUCAUGGAGGCGCUUUCAGAGAUUCGUGCUGAGGAGACUCGCCUACGUGGUGCUGGUUUGCUGGAGGUUCCCUCUGUGCUCGCUACUCGGGUUUCUUCCACUCCGCCGGCUGCACCGCCCCAUUCUCGCUCGAGUGCUCCGCCGCUCUUGCCCACUCCUUCUGGAGGCUUAGGUCGGCCCCGUUCACAUUGUGACUACUGCAACAAUGAUGGUCAUAUUGAGUCCCAGUGCUACACAAAGCGGAAACACCUGCGCAAGGCGCGAUCAUCCUCCUCAGGGACUUCGUCAUCUCCCUCGCCAGCUUCAGCCAUUGCUUUGACCGAGUAG
rnacentral:rRNA from 1 species